CGACACAGGAGGGGGCCCGAUGGCAUUAAGGGCAAGCUGCUGGGCCCCCUCUUGUGUUGGGGGUCCUCCACUUAGUUUGCCUGGAGGGAGAGCCAGCCUCCAGUCUGCAGGUUACCACGGCAACGCUCUAACUGGAGAUCGUGAGAUUUACCACGUGGUCUGCAGCUGCAGACCGAAUAACCAGCCUACACACACUCACAGUCACCCCACUAAUACCCUGCCACAGCACCCCUACCCUCUCACAGCCCAUCAGCCUCACAGCCAUCCUUCCUCCUCCUAGCCCCCCACAUACACCCUCUCACAGCCACCAAUCCUGUCACUCCACACACACACCUUGUCACAGUCAUCCCCACCAUGUCUCCUCUCACACACCCGGUCACCCCAACACACAUCCUAUCAUCCCCAUACACACACUGACACCCACUCCAUUCACUGUAACCAUCCCCAAUCACUUUCAGCCCCCACACAUUGUCACCCCUUCACUCAGCUCCACUCUCAUUAACCCCUUUUAAUCCUAUCAUUCUCACCCCUUCCAAGCAUACCAAACUUACCCACACUCGCUUUGCCACAUUUUCCCAAUCAUAUUAAUCCUGCUAGACUCACCUUCUCUUGUACUGUCACACUCACCCCUUCACCCUGCCACACUCACCUUACGACAUAAACCCCUCCAACUGUGCCACACUCGCCCCAAACCCUGUCACACUCACCCUGUCACAUUAACCCCCUUAAUUGUGUUACACUCCCUCCAAACAUGGCACAUUCACCCGAAACCUGUGAUACAACUCCCCACCCCCCCAACUAUGCCACAGUCACCCUGUCACAUUAACCUCCUCCAAUCCUGUCACCCUCCCUCCUCCAGUCAUGUCACAACCCCCCAUCAUUCUCACCAUCCCUUAUUCUGUCACACUCACCUUCCCAAUCCGGUCUCAUUUGGCCCCUCCCCCCCUCACCAUGGCAAACUUACCCUGUCACACUCACCAACUGAAGACAUUCAUUAUUGGCGCACACACAGACAUGAAACAUAACUGUCCAAUAGCACAAUGCACAAAGGCCACAGGCAGCCCCCAUAAACAAACACACCGCAAGCAACUACCCCACACACAUAGGUCCCAUAUCCAUGCUCACAAAGACAUAUAUAUUCACACACAAGGAUAGACACACACUUUCAGGCACAUACACAGGUAGACCAUGUCAGACAAACUCAGAAAUACACACACACCUGCACUUAUGUAUACACGACUGCCUGGGUAUGUAACCAUACCCCGCAAACGAUUAGCAUAAUUGCUAAUUUAAUUUUUUACAAAUUAUUUUGUUAGUAAAUUAUGCCAUAACUUCAGAGAGCUUACAACGCAGCGGCACAGGGAUCUGCGACACUGAAAGUCUCUGAACAAUGAACACAGAGACCAUCUCUCUGUAUACAGACUAGCGCUCUGUAUUCAGCGUUGCAAGCCCAUCCUUCAAUAUAACUACAGCACCUUAUACACACACAAUGAACCCCUAUUUAUUUUCACUUUGGGUGUUAUUUGGGGGCCUCAUGUUUGAGUUUCGCCUAAGGCCUCACAAAGUUUAGUGCCGCCACUGCCUACAAAUGCCUCAAAGAAGCUAGUUAAGGCUACAGCAAGCUCCAUUUAUGAAAACCAUAUUGAUUCACUCUUCCAUGGUUCAUUCUUCCAUGGCGAGAUAUUUCCUCGGCCUGGGUUCCACCAGUCUCCAUGCCACCUCUCAGCAUAGUGGUGAGUUUGCUGCUUAAGUCAUUACCCAGACCUCAACCAUGGAACUGUGUUGUCUGUAAUUUCCCCCAUCCAAUGGGGCUCUCGGAAUAGCAGGUGCUCCACUUCUCAAACAGCCCAGAUACAAUUGUGACUUGGUUCCAUUGAUAAUGAAUGGUGGGCGACAAUUUGUUGGAAGUACAAUUCCCUGACUGAGGCUCAAUAAGGAUUGCCCUCCCAGUUGAUAAUUGUUAACUGAGGUAUCC